GGUCACUGAGGUCACUGAUGGCUGUUGUUUGUCUUUGCUGGUGGAAGUAAACGACCUUUGAACAAAACGGUAGGUGCGUUUCGUUGCACACCCACCCUGUGGCGCCAUCUGUCCUGCUGUCGCGGCGGUUACCCGAACUAGCGGGCCACACUUACUGGUGAGAUUGCUGCGUCCUGAGGAGGCCGGUGAGCUCGAGAUCGACGACGACGUCGUGGCCGAGGUGGACGUGGACGUGGGGACCGUCGUCGGCAUCCCGGUCCAGAGGCCUACCGGGAGGAGCGGGGGGUCGCAGGGUCCGAGCGCUGGAGUGCCCAGCACAUGAGUGCACAGAGGUAAUAAUGGAGCGACAAAAAUUAAUAAUAAAGAAAUAAUAA